rnacentral:rRNA from 1 species
GACGAACGCUGGCGGCGUGCUUAACACAUGCCAGUCGAACGGAAAGGCCCUGCUUUUGUGGGGUGCUCGAGUGGCGAACGGGUGAGUAACACGUGAGUAACCUGCCCUUGACUUUGGGAUAACUUCAGGAAACUGGGGCUAAUACCGGAUAGGAGCUCCUGCUGCAUGGUGGGGGUUGGAAAGUUUCGGCGGUUGGGGAUGGACUCGCGGCUUAUCAGCUUGUUGGUGGGGUAGUGGCUUACCAAGGCUUUGACGGGUAGCCGGCCUGAGAGGGUGACCGGCCACAUUGGGACUGAGAUACGGCCCAGACUCCUACGGGAGGCAGCAGUGGGGAAUAUUGCACAAUGGGCGGAAGCCUGAUGCAGCAACGCCGCGUGCGGGAUGACGGCCUUCGGGUUGUAAACCGCUUUCGCCUGUGACGAAGCGUGAGUGACAGUAAUGGGUAAAGAAGCACCGGCUAACUACGUG